CGGCGGACGGGUGAGUAACACGUGGAUAACCUACCUAUAAGACUGGGAUAACUUCGGGAAACCGGAGCUAAUACCGGAUAAUAUAUUGAACCGCAUGGUUCAAUAGUGAAAGACGGUUUUGCUGUCACUUAUAGAUGGAUCCGCGCCGCAUUAGCUAGUUGGUAAGGUAACGGCUUACCAAGGCAACGAUGCGUAGCCGACCUGAGAGGGUUAUCGGCCACACUGGAACUGAGACACGGUCCAG
rnacentral:rRNA from 1 species